AAUAUAAGUCCAUGCCUUUAGAUAAUAUUUCAUUUUGUACUACAAAAGCAUAUUAUCCAAAUGCAUAUUAGUAAAUAUUAGUAAAACAUUUUGCAUGCCAACAAAAUGCGCGAUCACCAAAUAAUUGUGGUAUGCGACUUAUGAACUGUUUUCCAUCAAUAUUUUCGAAUCUUCGUAUACGAAAUAGCGAAAAUUCAGUGCAACGUUGAAGGUAUUUAUGGACUAAAAUGUGCUGGUGUGUCAUUAAACAAUUAAAUAUUCCAUUAAAGACAUUUUAUCCAUCUAACUACUCUCAAAAUGUUUGGAUGGGUGAGUGAAAUUGAAGACACAAUAUGUAAUUGUUAUUUCUACAGCAACCCUAGCACAAGAAACCGGGACAACUCGUGAAACAAGUGCAACACCAAGAACAGGGUGUGUACUGGUUGACGUCAUGAGUAGUGUUUCUCAAGAAAACCAACCUCUUGUCUACAGCGAAGACAAAAAGACCGCAGUAAUAACAGUUGAUGGUGAACUUGACAGUAUUAAAAACAUCCCAAACAAUGUCAAAGUAUACAUCGCUACGACGGCAAUUCCCGCAGGUCAGACUGUGACACUGUGGUUCCCUAAAG